rnacentral:tRNA from 7 species
GGAGCUGUAGCGAAGUUGGUUAUCGCACCUGCCUGUCACGCAGGGGAUCGCGGGUUCGAGUCCCGUCAGCUCCG